rnacentral:rRNA from 1 species
CAAAAGCGUAUAUUAAAGUUGUUGCAGUUAAAAAGCUCGUAGUUGAACCUUGGGCUUGGCUGGCCGGUCCAUCUUUUUUGAUGCGUACUGGACCCAGCCGAGCCUUUCCUUCUGGCUAGCCUUUUGGCGAACCAGGACUUUUACUUUGAAAAAAUUAGAGUGUUCAAAGCAGGCCUUUGCUCGAAUAUAUUAGCACGGAAUAAUAGAAUAGGACGUUAUGGUUCUAUUUUGUUGGUUUCUAGGACCAUCGUAAUGAUUAAUAGGGACGGUCGGGGGUAUCAGUAUUCAGUUGUCAGAGGUGAAAUUCUUGGAUUUACUGAAGACUAACUACUGCGAAAGCAUUUACCAAGGACGUUUUCAUUAA